UAAGGAAAGACAUGGAUUGGCUGUUAGAAAGACAGUGUGCCUUUAAUGACUGUGAUUUUAUAAUAAGGUGAGUUAUCAGCAAAUAAUCACUUAUCUUCCUGGGAGCAGAAGGUUAAAAUCAAAGUGCUAAAUUGACCUCAAACAGAUUAGGAGGAAUCCGUCUCUCAGAGCUUCAAAAAGCCUCUGUCAUUUCGUCUCUACCACAGCCCUCUCCCAUUGCUUUCUCCAAGCCAAAACCCCCCAAAAUUUACAUAAACACACUUCUACAGAACCAAACAAAAUAUCCUUGGAUUUCCAUGUUUCAUCAUUUCCAACUACGAGUGAUUUCUGGGUGUCUCUAUUUUUGGGGCCCAAACGGAGGUAGCUUAGAGAUGUUUGGUUUCUAUAGGGGCAUGUGCCUAGCCCUGUUUGGAUAUCGGGUCCUUUUUUAGUGUUUUAAGUUGAGAACUAGAGAUCUGAGGCACCAAGUUAUGGGUGUCUUUGGAAAUUUGGCAUUAAUUACCUAUUCAUUAUGAAAAGCUGCCCUUGAAAACAAAAGUCCUCGCAUUACUAAAGCGCUGCACUUUUUCCAUUCUUAAUUUACUUUCUGUCCUAGUGGGAUAUGCCUCCUAUGAGUCCUUAAUAGGAGAAAAAGAAAAAAAGAGGAGACAGCUGAGAAGGGAUAGCAUAAAUGAAUUUGUAGCUGGCCUUAGGGAGAAGACUAGCAGGGAAGGAUCCAUAUAACAAAUAGUUUCACUGCAUUGGCCUGGUAAGAAAUAUAAGACAUGGAAGGGGCUUGUCCAUUUAUACCCACUUUAGUUCGAUAUGACUUCUCUGCCUGUAAUGAAGUGCGAUCAAUAUGCAGUCUAACACAUUCUUUGAGUAACGCACAGAACAUUGCCCUUGCCCCAUUUCUGCUGAUAACUUAGCAAGUGGAGAAAUCCAGAGCCUGCUUGUGUCCCUAAGGACAAGAGUGGCUAAUGGCUUUACAUACUUAGAAAUUAGGCUGUCUGAGGCUAAGGACAUUAAUCUGGAAUUUAGGGCACAAUAAUUAAUUACAAACCAAGACCUUAAAUUAAUGAACUUUUACUGGGCAGUUAUUAAUAAAAGGGAGAGAUUAACAUUGGAGAUUAUUAAUAGUGGAGAUUUAGCCUGGAUUUUAUUUCUUGAAAUGUUUUAAUACAGAAUUGUUGGUAACAACCAAGGGACUUCAGUUUUUUCAUUUGAACUGUUGAAAGCUGAGAAAUUAACUCUACUCUUUCCAGAGACAAUGCCUUUACCAUCAUCCCCCCCAAAAAGAAUUUCAGAUUUAAAUAUUGGAAUUUGAAAUUCUGUUGUCAUUGUCUCUUUGGACAAAUGACCAGUCACUUGACUUUUGCAAAGUUUCCUUUAUUUUCACAGAAGUUGAUGGUACAAUAUUUCAAGCUGUUUUCCACAACCCUUCAUCCUGCUACCUAGCAGUGGAGGCUGAAGGCAUGUAAAAGCAGUGCUGAGGCACAAUUCUGCCAGCUGCACAUUGCACUCACCAGCCAUUUCACUGCAGUGGGAGAAGAUGUUUCCCUCCUCAGGAAAGGGACAAGGGACACAUUCAGGUGGGAGAGAGCAAUCUGGAGUCAACUGCCUGGAAGGCUGAUGUUGCAUGAAGUGACUGAACAAACAGCUUAUAGAGUGACCAAAUCCAGUUCUUUUAUCUGAACAGUGAGCUCUCUGUUUUUAUUUUUAGCAUGUCAUCAACAAAGUCAUCUCUCUCUUUAUUCUUCAGCUGCUGCAUGGAUGAAGGCAACUUUUGGAUGUUAGUAAAUAA